rnacentral:rRNA from 1 species
CAGCAGUCGCCGCGGUAAUACGUAGGUGGCAAGCGUUGUCCGGAAUUAUUGGGCGUAAAGGGCUCGCAGGCGGUUUCUUAAGUCUGAUGUGAAAGCCCCCGGCUCAACCGGGGAGGGUCAUUGGAAACUGGGAAACUUGAGUGCAGAAGAGGAGAGUGGAAUUCCACGUGUAGAGGUGAAAUUCGUAGAUAUUCGGAAGAACACCAGUGGCGAAGGCGACUCACUGGCCCAUUACUGACGCUGAGGCGCGAAAGCGUGGGGAGCAAACAGGAUUAGAUACCCCUGUAGUCCCUGUCUCUUAUAC